rnacentral:ncRNA from 2 species
CAUAAAACUAUUGUUUAAGGCACCUUGUAAAGGUUUAAUAGGGAAAGCGGUGAAAAUCCGCUGCAGCCCCCGCUACUGUAAGUGAAGACGACUCUUUGCAUCCACUGGCUCUACGCCGGGAAGGAAAAGACGAGGAUGACACACGAGCCAGGAGACCUGCCUUUGACGUAUGCUAUGC